rnacentral:rRNA from 1 species
UACGAAGGGGGCUAGCGUUGCUCGGAAUCACUGGGCGUAAAGCGCACGUAGGCGGCUUUCUAAGUCAGGGGUGAAAUCCUGGAGCUCAACUCCAGAACUGCCUUUGAUACUGGGGAGCUCGAGUCCGGAAGAGGUGAGUGGAACUCCGAGUGUAGAGGUGAAAUUCGUAGAUAUUCGGAGGAACACCAGUGGCGAAGGCGGCUCACUGGCUCGAUACUGACGCUGAGGUGCGAAAGCGUGGGGAGCAAACAGG